UACGUAGGGCGCAAGCGUUGUCCGGAAUUAUUGGGCGUAAAGAGCUCGUAGGCGGUUUGUCGCGUCUGCUGUGAAAACCUCAGGCUCAACCUGGGGCUUGCAGUGGGUACGGGCAGACUAGAGUGCGGUAGGGGUGACUGGAAUUCCUGGUGUAGCGGUGGAAUGCGCAGAUAUCAGGAGGAACACCGAUGGCGAAGGCAGGUCUCUGGGCUGUAACUGACGCUGAGGAGCGAAAGCAUGGGGAGCGAACAGG
rnacentral:rRNA from 1 species